rnacentral:rRNA from 1 species
AUUGAACGCUGGCGGCAGGCUUAACACAUGCAAGUCGAACGAGUGGCGGACGGGUGAGUAAUGCAUGGGAAUCUACCUUAUGGAGGGGGAUAACUACGGGAAACUGUAGCUAAUACCGCGUACCAUAGGAUGAGCCCAAGUGGGAUUAGCUAGUUGGUGAGGUAAAGGCUCACCAAGCGACGAUCUAUAGCUGGUCUGAGAGGAUGACCAGCAAAACUGGGACUGAGACACGGCCCAGACGCCUACGGGAGGCAGCAGUGGGGAAUAUUGCGCAAUGGGGGCAAGCCUGACGCAGCCAUGCCGCGUGAAUGAAGAAGGCCUUCGGGUUGUAAAGUUCUUUCGGUAGCGAGGCGUUACCUGCAGAAGAAGCACCGGCUAACUCCGUGCCAGCAGCCGCGGUAAUUC